GCAGGGACUCACACCCUCAGGUGUGCAGUUCUUCCCUCAGACAGGAGCCCCAUGUUUCAGGCUGUACCCCCAUGGCAGUUCUUUGUCAGUGUUAUUUUCUCCAUUUCUGAUAUAUUUUUCUUCUUAAUUGAGGAAGAAGGUAGAAGACUGGGACUCGCAUUGUGUUUCUGACUGUAAUUCUUACUAUCAGAGGAAGGUGCAAAAGUAUGCUAAAUUCAGGUGGCGGCUCACAGCAGACCUGUGACAAGAGCCAUUUGAUUAGUCAGGUGUCCAUAUAAAUACCUAUUUGGGACUAUAAUACUACCUUAUCAUAUAUUGUUUAGAAUUUCAUCCUGAUUGUCUGUGGUUUUUUAUUACACACUUAUGUACUGGUUAGUUCAAUAAAAAACCAAAUUUCUGUGCAUUUAGCUGAAUAAAGCUCUGUUUGUUCCUGUUAGUUAUAUGAAUUCUUUCUAUGCAUUAUCUCAAUUUCUGGGCAUUUUUCCCUUAAUUUACUCCAAAAAUUACUUCAGUACUUAUGAAUACUGAAAGACAGCCAAGACAGGACGAACUUUUGGACAAUUUAUACAAACAUGACAGAUGAUAAUAGAUUUACUGUAAACAUGUCAGGCACAAAAGACUUGACUGCUUUUUUAAAUACAGUGAUACUGGAAAAGAUUUAUGGAUAUUUUCAACUCUUCAUUAAAGAGAAAAUAUUUUGAAACUAUAGGCUCUAUCCUUUUAUCCAUUUUUGCCUUCCAGGCUAAGUUGCAAACCUUUGAUGUUUUCUUCACCAAAAAAUAAAAGUAGUUAUGAAUUUAUUUCUUCACAGUACUUUCAUUUUUGUGUCAUUUUACAGUUUUUAUUACAUUCCUGGCAGUCCAAAUGAUGGUGUUUGGAGAGUACCUUGAGUCCACAGCUCUAAGUUUUCUGAAAAUAAGGACUAAGUUCACUUAAUGAUGGGUUCUGGCUACUGUAUUUUUUCUUCUUUAGUAACAAAAGGUUAAUGAAAUCUCUGAAUACUUUAACUGCCUGUUAGACCAACCAACCAACCAGUUAAAGGUUAUUCUAUUCUAAAUGACUGGACGCUAUUUGAAUUGAUAAAAGUUAACAUGGCAUAGCUAGUACCUGUUGGAUCAGGUUAAUAAAAAGCAAAGUCUUAGACUUGAAAAUCAUGUAUAAAUAUGGUUGCUGUAGUUGACCCAGAUAUCAAUUUUUACAGCCAGGUGUAUUCUUAACUCUUAUUGUCGGAGUCAGCUUCCGUGCCCUUACAAAUCAAUAGCAAGCCUUGCUUUCAACUUCAGUGCAGCUGAUGUUGUUGGCAGUCAAUGGUUUUGCAAGAUCAGUUCAAGAUAUUGGAAUGGUUUCAGAGAAUUAUUGGAUUCUUUCUUUCUGAAAUAGUGUUAAACUCGUAAGUAGGAAUUUAAGGAAUUUAAACGUGAAAAUAUAUGCACUUGCACUGCUUCUUAAAACUAGUGUAUCUUGCCAAAUCUCCUAUCAAGUCAAAGCAGUGCACCAAAAUGAUAGCAGAAAGGAUUGUGCAGUGCUCAAACAUCUUAUCUGGCAUACUCACAGUGCUGAGCAUGCCCUCAUUUUUGAAUAGUGGGGAAAGAUGGAGAAAGAGGAGAUUUGGGUGGAAAAUAACAGUUUUCAUUGCAACCUUAGAAGAAUGUUGGCAAUUUUGUAACAGAAUUAUUUACUGUUCUGAGACCAUUCAAAGGAAGGCUGGAGGCUUAAUAAAGGCUUCAUUUUGGAAGAAUGGAUAGCUGAAAGUAGUAUUUUACUAAUUCUUAUUGGAGGCACAUUUCCGGCUUUUGAAAAUUAAUUUAAGAGCCACAAACCAACACACAUUUAUGAAUAACAUAGUGCUGUUGGAGAUAAUGCAAAUGUCUUUAUAAAUAACAUAUUAUAGCUUAAAUCAUUAUUUUUAAUGCCUCUUUUUUUUCCCUAUAUGAACAGGUCUGUACUGGUCUGCAUUAAUUAAAUGUAGGCUCUUUGAUGUUGCUGUGUAUACCAACAGUCUUUCUGUGUCGAUUUAUUGUGGCAAUGAAGAGUGGGAAACUGCUAAUUUAUAUCACCAGCAAAGUGCAUAACUGUUGUGUUCCUUGAAGUAUGAAUGUUUGCAGACGUCUCUAAACCUUCACAUGGGACUGACAUGUUCAAGAUAAUACCUUUGGAAUUGGGUGAUGAAAAAUAUGGAUGAUGACAAACUCCAGACUCAGAGAAAACAUCCUCAACCCUGGUCUACAAUACUGUCCAGUGCUUAUGGGUUAUAAAAUGAAAAUCAUCAAAACUGCCCUUGACAGGAUGUUUCUUUCCAUUAGUUGAUUAAAAUGGUUUAUUGUUGCCUACAGCAUUGUUACUUUAAAUGUAAUUUUUAACAAAGAGCAGAUGUGGCCAUGUCUUGCACUAUUUCUCUUUCUGUGGUUUCUGAUACAGAAAUGAAUCACUCCGCAGAUCCUCCUGUGGGGAGGGAGAGGGAAAGGUGAGGGACUCAGCGAUGGGCUGGGGUAUCAGCUGGGGGGGGGGUUGUGCAACAGUACUGCAGAAAGUUGGAGGCAAAACAUGCAAACCUUCAACCAGCAAGUGCUCAGAGUAGAAGAAAACCCCAAAAUCUUGAAUUAUCUGCCUGCCAUUGCCGUAUGUUUGCUCUGACAAAGCAAGAAGUGGGUUCUGACAUUUUUUCAGACUGACAACUCUUAACGUUUCAGAUACAGUGUGGAAAUGGAGAGUAGAUGAUCCUAAAACAUUAAACAAGGUUGUAUCCCCAUGAACUCUCAUCUAUCCACUGCUCACUGCUGUUACAAAGAGAACUGAAAAAGUCCAAGUCUUUGAGAUGUAUGUUAAAUCCCUUUGUUUCUUGUCACCUCCAUGUUUGAUGGAGGAGCUGAAAUCUCAAUACAAAUCCUAUUUCCAAAUCUAGGGGUCAUUUCAAGCAAUAGUUACAGAAAGGUACCUUUCCAUUUCCUAGCACAAGUUUUCUAAGGCAUGUUGUCAUCUGAUGAUAAUAGGGUCUUUCACUAGCCAAUCUCAAAUUAUUGGCCAUGUGACCUUAUAUUCAAUAAAUAUUUAUUUGAGAAUCAUAGGUUAAUUAAUUUCCAUUGUUUCUGUUUUAAUUCUAUACAUGCUUAUACUAUACAAUUAGAGAAAAACACAGACAGCCACGAGUAAAUGUUGCUCAUACAAAAUGUUUCUAUUACCCUUUACUUUUAAAACCAUUAAUAGAUUAUUAGGAGAUAUAAACAUUGGAGACCAUGGAUCAUAUUUGCAUGUUAAUCAAAGCCAUGAAUUAUACAUUAUUUUCUAUGGAGAGUACUAGAAACAAUAUUCCUCCUUUCUUAUAGCUAUAAAAGCUGGAGGUUUCCUGGAGCACAGAUCACAUCCCCUCUGCAAUACCUUCUAAUAGAAAGAAAGAAAUCCAGCUUUUCAAAGCAAUCUCUCACUAAAUGAAAUAGAUUUGUUUGUGUUGCUUUGCAACACACAAGUGUGACAGUUCAUUUUAAACAAAAUAGUUUUAAUAAUGUCAUUACUAAUAUCUCUUUGGUCAUCUCUCUGAAAAAUUGUGUUUUAAUAGGACUGUUUCAUUUUAAUAAAUGGCAGAAGAGGCAAGCUGCCCUGAGUCAGCAGGAAGUGGAUAUACACCAGAGAACAGGCUGAUUGUGUUAGAUUCAUCCAGAACAUUGAACAGCACACAGACAGUCCAAGAAAAAGCAACUGGCUGUAUUCAAAUGAUUAGUCUUACUGCUAUGCUGUAGCACAGAUUCACACAUUCUUCUAUUAUUCCUUGACCUUCUGCCAAAAACUCCCACUUCAAGUAAUAAUUAGAAUUAGUGUUUCCAGUGCAUGCUUCCAUCUUCCUAACAAACAGUAAUGAAAUGUGGCUUUUACAAAAUAUGCAGUUAAUUAAACUUUUUUUUUAACAUUGUUUGAUUAAUACAGUUCCCCUGUGCUAGCCCCUCAUUAUGCCUGACUACCUGGGAUUGGUGAAUUGAAAGAAAAGCACUAUCAAUAAGAUGAGUGAGAUUUCAGAAUUUUGCACUUUAAAAUUGCUUGUGCUUUUAAUUUUUUUUUUCUUUUUCUUUUGUUUAGGUCUUGGAAUAAACUGAAAAGACACCCUUUAUUUGUAAUCCUGUUUUUUUAAGCUGAGGACAGUAUGUGUAUUAUAUAACAACUCUACUAAUACCCUCAGUGUGAAUUUGAAGAACACAUAUAUCAAGUGCUACAAGAUAACAAGUGCAUUUCUAGGCAAGCUUUUUGAAAAGGUGUAUCAGCACUGUAUUGCUUAAUAGCACUAUGCAAAUAGAUAUUCUGAUUUCAUUUAAAAAUAUUAUUUCAUGCUUUUUAACUGUCUGCCUUAAUUAUCCAAAUGCUAAACAAGUAUAGUCUUUUGAUUGAUGAGAGUUCCACCCCUUUACCCACACCCCUGCAGAUAUGAGGCUCCACAGUUUAGCACCAUAAAUCACUGUGAUUGUAAAACUUAACUACUGUAUGAUCAGAGAUCACAUGCAGUGGUAGCCUGGAUAUGCUUUCAUCCUUUGUUAUGAACGUUUUAGGGCUAAAUUUAUUCUGGAUGUUUGGAGAAAUAUCUGUUUCUUCACUUAAGAAAGCAAUGCAUUUUAAAUAAGCAAUUCUUGCGACAAUUGGAAAUAAUCACAGAAGUCUUCUAUUUGCAAUCUUCAUUAAUGUGAGUUAUUUCAUCACUUUAGGAGAAAUCUUUUCAGAGGAAAACAACAAUUAAACCCCUCCCCCCAGACUCUGACAGCUAAGGAUCUAUGGAUCAGCCAUUUUAGUAAUUAACCACAAUUCCUCUGAUUUGUGAAUUUCCAGAUGAUGAGGCAGGAAGCAAGUUACAUCUUGGAGAAAUUGCCCUCAGGAGAGAGGAAAAACUAUUGCGAGGUUGACAGCACAACCUUGUACCGGCACAGUUUCCCUUCCCCAGUGGUUCAAGGAGUUCCAAGCACCCUCCUGUAAAUCAUCAGCUCACAUCUAUUUAUUAUCUUCCAGCCCAGUGCACAACACUAUCUGUUACACACGGAUACCAGCAAUAUUGCAAGGUGGACUCAAGGGAUAAAAGACAGCAAACCCUGCACACCUCCUAUGCCUGAGUCACACCCACUAUAAAGCCAGCUCUGUUCAUAAAGCUCAUGCUGUUGUCAGAAAUGAAACAAUAUGAACUGUUCUGGUUCAGAGUAGUGCUUUUGUAGUGUUUCUCCAAUAUGCUUGAUCUUACCGUCUUGAUAGCUUUGUGUUAUUAUACAGAGACAAAAUUUAUCUGCAUAGUAAUGGACAAAAUGUCUAUGAAAAUAUUGCUAUUCAUUCAAUGAUUGUUGUUAUAUUUGGACUAGGCGCCAGCCUCACUCUGUGAUGCCUGUCCUGGAAUAUCAAUAAAUAAAUCAUAAAAGCCAA